GCAGUUCCCCACGCGUUUCCAGUUCCGGCUCCGGGGGUUUGGGGAGCAGCGGGUAAGAUGCGGUUGUCGGUCGCCGCCGCCAUCUCCCAUGGCCGCGUGUACCGCCGCCUGGGCCUUGGUCCCGAGUCCCGCAUCCACCUGUUGCGGAACUUGCUGACGGGACUAGUGCGGCACGAACGCAUCGAGGCGUCCUGGGCGCGCGUGGACGAGAUGAGGGGUUACGCCGAGAAGCUCAUCGACUAUGGGAAGCUGGGCGACACCAACGAAAGAGCCAUGCGCAUGGCUGACUUCUGGCUGACAGAGAAGGACUUGAUCCCAAAGCUGUUUCAAGUGUUGGCCCCUCGGUACCAAGGUCAGAGUGGGGGCUACACGAGAAUGCUGCAGAUCCCAAAUCGGAAUCAGCAGGAUCGGGCUAAGAUGGCAGUGAUCGAGUAUAAAGGGAACUGCCUCCCACCCCUGCCCCUGCCUCGCAGAGACAGCAACCUCACACUUCUAAACCAGCUCCUUCGUGGGCUGCGGCAGGACCGGGAAGCAGGCAUCCACAGCUCCCACACACCUCGGACACCAGGGAGUUAACUGGAGCCAAAGCGUGUGCAGCCUCGUCAGUGCCCAUGAUCAUAGGCCGUUGGAUCUCUUCAUCUCUAAGAACUGGAGCUAGAGUUGUGAAGUGGACAGUCUUCAUGGAGCCCAGAACCUGUUGGGUAGCCAUAUAACCUUCUCUUUGCACAAUAGGCAGGAUCACGUAAUACCCUCAUGUGCUUCUCUCAAGCCUUGAAUGGGCCUCAAAGGAGAGGACCUGAGGACUCCGAUGUACGACUAUCCUGGCCAAGGGAGUGCAAGCGUUGAGCAGAGGAUACUGGACUCCAGCAUCAGCUCUUUCCUCUUGGAGUGGAAGGGAGGGCGGGAGGGGAGAGUGAAAUGAAGGACAGGGUUAAAGUGGGAGGAGGAUCAGGAAGUUAAACCUGCUGGAAUUUCCUGGAAAUUUUUUAUUGUCGAAUCUGGGCCUCUCUUGGAACUGAGAAAGGGGAAAUCGGGCUUCACAAUGGUCUGGGCAUAUGAGAAGUAGGAAACUCCUUUAUGUAUACUAAUUAGUGUGAAACCAAACUUGGCCCGGCCAGGCUGCCCACCUCUCAAAGCUCAGAGGCUUGAGUAAGGUGAUAGUCAUGGGAAGACUCAGUGCUGUCAUCCCAGGCUAAAUGCAUCAGAACAGGGUCCCACAGUUUCCAUAUCCCCGGUAUGGUGGAGAGAAGAGAUUUUUAUCUUGGACUGGACUUUCAGAGCGUAUUGGGCCCAUUGUCUCAGAUGAUAAGGGUGAAGGUGAAGAGGUCACUGGUCUAGCAGAUAGAUAAUAGCUUCAGUGACAGCUAUUCUUGUGCUAUUUCACUGCAGUUUCCCUAGUCGGACACUCACUCCUAGCAGGGUUCUCCAUAUCUCCCUCUGCUCCAAUCUGCCUUUCACAUUAUUACCAGAAAGCUCUUUCUGCCAUAUUUUGAGUGACAUACUAGACACUCAAAGCAUUUAUUAAAUAAACCUACAACUCUGAGUGCUUCUGCCCAAAAAUUCAUCCCCUUCCUGUCUUCUUGGCAUGAAUAUUCACCUCCAGCUAGAUAAGUUGGAGUCAUCCCUGAUUCCUAGAGAAAGCACUUACUAUUAAAACCACAUCUUUACAACUUAUUGGUAAUAAGUAGAUUGUGGCUGACUCUCAUAGUUUUCGUCUUAGCCCCAGAAAUAUAUGCCCAUUUGGAGUUUUCAGCAGUUCCCCUAAGUGCUUAUUAAACAUCUGCUAGUACCCAGCAUCAAUUUAGGCAGUAGGGAUGCAGUCUUUAUCAAAUGUUUGCCAUGCAUUGGGCCCUGGGAUCGAUACUAGGGAUACAGAGAUGAGGAGAAACAACCUCUCCCUUCAAGGAGCUCACAAUCUAAUGGACCACCACAGUGGCCUCAAGGGACACUUCAUCACCUUUAAUAUUUUGGCCAAAUAAGAGUGCAUGAAUCCUAGAACAUUUACUGAAGGCUCCAGGACAAUAUAAGGGAAAUAACACUGUUUUACUAAUCUGGCCUGUAAAUGAUAACUUUUCACCCCAGUUGUUGGACUAUUCCAUCUAGGCACCUCUUUAAAAAAUUUUAGACCCCCAAGAGAGGAGCCCAGAUGUAUUGCAGAUGUCUCUACUUUUCAGAGGUUCUCAGGCUCCAGUUUUUUACUGCAAGGUCGUCAGCUAUGCCCACUCCCUUCAAAAAAUAAUGAACUCUAGCCCAGCUGGCAUGUCUCAGUAGUCGAGCAUCAACCUAUGAACCUGGAAUUCAUAGUUUGAUUCCCAGUCAGGACACAUGCCCAGUGGAGGGCAUGCAGGAGGCAGUCAAUCAAUGAUUCUCAUCAU